rnacentral:rRNA from 1 species
CAAAAACAUAGCUUUUUAAGAAAGUAAAAAGUGUAAUCUGCCCAGUGAUUAUACAGCAUAAUAAUAUAUUAUUAACUUAUAAUUAAACGGCCGCUGUAUUCUUGACGGUGAUAAUGUAGGAAAAUAAUUAGUCAAUUAAUUGUUGAACGUAGAUGAAUGAUUGAACGAAAUUUCCACUGUCUUAUUUAUAAUAUAUUGAAAUUAAUAUAAUAGUGAAGAAGCUAUUUAAAAUUGUAAGACGAAAAGACCCUGUAAAGCUUAACUAUAUAUAUAUAUUAAUAAUUUAUGCUAAUAUACGCAAUUAUAUUAGCACUAGAUUUAUUAAUUGGGUAGUUUGGUUGGGGCAACAACAUUUUAAAAUUAAAAAAUGUAUAUUAAAAUAAUAUUAUUAUUUAUUGUUUAAUUUAUAAAUUUAACAAUUAUAAUUUAGAUAUAAUGACCUAUCUUUAUACUAUAAAAUUUUAUGAGAUAAUAAAUAAAUAAAAGUUACUUCAGGGAUAACAGGUUAAUUUUAUUUGAAAGAUGAUAUUAAAAAUAAAGUUUGACACCUCGAUGUUGAAUUAAGUUAUCCUAGUGUUGCAGCAGAUACUAAGGGUUGGUCUGUUCGACCAUUAAAAACUUACAUGAUUUGA